AGUUUGAUCCUGGCUCAGAACGAACGCUGGCGGCAGGCCUAACACAUGCAAGUCGAACGUGAAGCCACCUUCGGGUGGUGGAAAGUGGCAGACGGGUGAGUAACGCGUGGGAACGUGCCCUUCGGUUCGGGAUAACCCAGGGAAACUUGGGCUAACACCGGAUACGCCCUUCGGGGGAAAAAUUUAUUGCCGAAGGAUCGGCCCGCGUCGGAUUAGCUUGUUGGUGGGGUAAAAGCCUACCAAGGCGACGAUCCGUAGCUGGUCUGAGAGGAUGAUCAGCCACACUGGGACUGAGACACGGCCCAGACUCCUACGGGAGGCAGCAGUGGGGAAUAUUGGACAAUGGGCGCAAGCCUGAUCCAGCCAUGCCGCGUGGGUGAAGAAGGCCUUAGGGUUGUAAAUCCCUUUCAGCGGGGAAGAUAAUGACGGUACCCGCAGAAGAAGCCCCGGCUAACUCCGUGCCAGCAGCCGCGGUAAUACGGAGGGGGCUAGCGUUGUUCGGAAUUACUGGGCGUAAAGCGCGCGUAGGCGGACCUGCAAGUCGGGGGUGAAAGCCCGAGGCUCAACCUCGGAACUGCCUUCGAUACUGCGGGUCUUGAGUCCGGGAGAGGUGAGUGGAAUUCCUAGUGUAGAGGUGAAAUUCGUAGAUAUUAGGAAGAACACCAGUGGCGAAGGCGGCUCACUGGCCCGGUACUGACG
rnacentral:rRNA from 1 species